GAUGAACGCUAGCGGCAGGCCUAACACAUGCAAGUCGAGGGGUAGGGUUAGCUUGCUAACUUGAGACCGGCGCACGGGUGCGUAACGCGUAUGCAAUCUACCUUGUACAGGGGGAUAGCCCAGAGAAAUUUGGAUUAAUACCCCAUGGUGUUAUGAUGUGGCAUCACAUUAUAACUAAAGUUCCGACGGUACAAGAUGAGCAUGCGUCCCAUUAGCUAGUUGGUGUGGUAACGGCAUACCAAGGCAAUGAUGGGUAGGGGUCCUGAGAGGGAGAUCCCCCACACUGGUACUGAGACACGGACCAGACUCCUACGGGAGGCAGCAGUGAGGAAUAUUGGUCAAUGGGCGCAAGCCUGAACCAGCCAUGCUGCGUGCAGGAUGACGGUCCUAUGGAUUGUAAACUGCUUUUAUACGGGAAGAAACACUCCUACGUGUAGGAACUUGACGGUACCGUAAGAAUAAGGAUCGGCUAACUCCGUGCCAGCCGCCGCCGUAA
rnacentral:rRNA from 1 species